GGAAGAGUGCGUGUGUGUGUUUGGUUGCAGGGUUACUGUAGGAAGAGUGUGUGUGUGUGUGUGUGUGGUUGCAGGGUUUGUUUUACGGUGUUUCUCUGUUUAACGCUGACUGAGCUUCUUUUGAGGCCUCACCGACUCACUGUACAAAUGACUCUACCAUAUGAACAGUUGGAAGGGUGUCCAUCUUGUUUACAAACUUUGGAUGUGGCCUAGAAUUGCAGUCCCUCAGGGUAAGGGUUGAACUGGCUCGUUCCUCGAGUAUAGCAUUCGUGAGUCUACUUGCGUGUUUGCCAUGUCUCUUCCUUAAGAGGUCAGUAGAAGUUGCUUGAAGCUCGAGGGAGUAGGGUGAAGUUGCCCCCUAGACGCUGAUCUUGGGUCAAUGUUACAUUUCCCCCACUAAUGGUUAUUUGUUAGGAUUGGGGCAGGCAAAGAUGAUCCUAGAUCUGUACCUAAGAGAAACAUGCUUGCUUGUAUGUUAAAGUGCUUUGAGUAUAACAUCGGGGGGGGGGCCUACUUGCAUGUUGAGCUUAUUGGUUGAGUUCAGUCUAACACGGCAUCGUCAGUAGAUGUUCAUCGGUCUGUGUCUAGGAGAAACUUCACCCUGGAGCGAGGUGGAAUAACAGUCUCAACAGCAUCGGUCUGUGUCUAGGAAGAAACUUCACCCUGGAGCGAGGUGGAAUAACAGUCUCAACAGCAUCGGCUUUGGUUGAUAGUGGUNNNNNNNNNNCACACACACACACACACACACACACACACACACACACACACACACACACACACACACACACACAACUGAAACUGAAACGGCUGUGAAAAGAGGAAGUCCAGUAUGAAGGGCACACCAGCCCUCUGAACUAACAUUAACCCGCGUCCUUCUCAAAACACAUUGGAGGACAAGGUUGAGGGACCUCU
rnacentral:lncRNA from 13 species